rnacentral:rRNA from 1 species
UACGGAGGAUGCAAGCGAUAUCCGGACUGAUUGGGCGUAAAGCGUCCGCAGGUGGUUGCGUAUGUCUAUUGUCAAAUCAUCAUGCUUAACAUGAUAAAGGCAGUAGAAACUACACGACUCGAGUGCGUUCGGGGCAGAGGGUACUCCUGGUGUAGCGGUGAAAUGCGUAGAGACCAGGAAGAACACCGGUGGCGAAAGCGCUCUGCUAGGCCGCAUCUGACACUGAGGGACGAAAGCUAGGGUAGCGAAUCGG